AACGACUCUCGGCAACGGAUAUCUCGGCUCUUGCAUCGAUGAAGAACGUAGCGAAAUGCGAUACUUGGUGUGAAUUGCAGAAUCCCGCGAACCAUCAAUUCUUUGAACGCAAGUUGCGCCCGAAGCCAUUCGGCCGAGGGCACGCCUGCCUGGGCGUCG
rnacentral:rRNA from 2 species